CCCAUAGAGCAAAUGAAGAUGUUCACUUGAUAGUGAGGAAAUCUCCAGUCCUCGAUUUCUGCAUCUCGAACUCGGCUCGCAAGGAAAUUUCAACAUUGUCGAGGAAGCAUCAUUGUAUCAGUGAAGUUUCGGUUCAGUUCUUAUCCUCGAGACACUUUUGUUGUUUCCUUCUUUCCCCCAUCAGAGCUCACUCCGCGCUGAUAGGAAGUUGACUGACUGGAAUACAGGGAGAAACUAAGCCUGGGCGCAAAACACUUCUCCUGAUGAUGGUUUAUCAGACAGACUUAUGCCACUGGGACACCCAAGUAUGUGUUCCAUCAGUGCAAUGGUGUUUUAAAGUGCGUAAGUUUCUUCAUUUUUCAUUCAAAAAUUUUAAAUAUGAUUCAAACUCCAAGGUUUAUUUGGUAGCACAUUGUUGUUCAUUGUUGGUUUUCAAAUAAUUUCUUCUUCCAUGUGUUUGUUUUUUUUAUUUUUUAUUUUUAUUU